AGCUCAGCUCUGUACUGCUUCCUUCUGGCUGGCACGCGGCUUGGUGCAUUCUGCUCGCCCUGACAUCUUGGAAUCCACUCUGUUCCGGAAAUCUGGGAGAAAGGCAGCCAACUCCUGUUCCAGCUGGACUGCCCCUCCCUGAGGCACUGCAGAUACUCGCUCCAGAAGGAAAGAUCUCCUACCAGUGCUUAACUCUGGCUGAACUUACCUGGAAGCAUGAAGAUAAAGGAUGCAGGAAUAUAGCUUUUAUAGAUCAGCAUCUUUGGACCAAGGAGGUAGAGUACAGAGAAGAAUAGAAGAAGAUGGAAUACAGCUCACCUCUUUGGUGCCUUGAAAGGUCAACGCUGCCAUGUGCUUAGAAGACAUGAGAAAACUGGGGACAAGGAGGAUAAAAGGUAA